rnacentral:lncRNA from 1 species
CUUUUUUUAUUCAAAUGAUAAUCUUAUUCUUUACUAUUUGUUUAUGUUUAAUAGUAUGGUUAUUUGGGGUAUUAAGUCCGUAGCGUCUACCCCAAGAACCAUAUCCCCCUUUUUUGGGAUUGGGGGGGAUAAAGACCUAUUUGGUUACCCCAAGAACCAUAUUCCCUUUUUUGGGAUUGGGGGGAAUAAAGACCUAUUUGGUUGACUUACAUUCUAUUAUUUUUGUAUCUAAAAGUCAAGAUCUAUGUAUAUAUGCCACAUUUUUUAUAAACUAAGCGACCUUCCUCUGAUUUUUUCGUAAAAUUGGAAAUACUCCAACGGUCUAUUCUUUCUUUUUUUCUAUAUUCAUAUUAAUUAUGAAUAACAAAAGAAUGAAAAGUUAAUA